rnacentral:rRNA from 1 species
UACAGAGGUCUCAAGCGUUGUUCGGAUUCAUUGGGCGUAAAGGGUGCGUAGGCGGCGCGGUAAGUCGGGUGUGAAAUCUCGGAGCUUAACUCCGAAACUGCAUUCGAUACUGCCGUGCUUGAGGACUGGAGAGGAGACUGGAAUUUACGGUGUAGUGGUGAAAUGCGUAGAUAUCGGGAGGAACACCAGUGGCGAAGGCGACUACCUGGCCUGUUCUUGACGCUGAGGCGCGAAAGCUAGGGGAGCAAACGGG